rnacentral:rRNA from 1 species
GCCGUAGGUGAACCUGCGGAGGGAUCAUUACUGAGUUUACGCUCUAUAACCCUUUGUGAACAUACCUAUAACUGUUGCUUCGGCGGGUAGGGUCUCCGUGACCCUCCCGGCCUCCCGCCCCCGGGCGGGUCGGCGCCCGCCGGAGGAUAACCAAACUCUGAUUUAACGACGUUUCUUCUGAGUGGUACAAGCAAAUAAUCAAAACUUUUAACAACGGAUCUCUUGGUUCUGGCAUCGAUGAAGAACGCAGCGAAAUGCGAUAAGUAAUGUGAAUUGCAGAAUUCAGUGAAUCAUCGAAUCUUUGAACGCACAUUGCGCCCGCCAGCAUUCUGGCGGGCAUGCCUGUUCGAGCGUCAUUUCAACCCUCAAGCUCUGCUUGGUGUUGGGGCCCUACAGCUGAUGUAGGCCCUCAAAGGUAGUGGCGGACCCUCCCGGAGCCUCCUUUGCGUAGUAACUUUACGUCUCGCACUGGGAUCCGGAGGGACUCUUGCCGUAAAACCCCCAAUUUUCCAAAGGUUGACCUCGGAUCAGGUAGGAAUACCCGCUGAACUUAAGCAUAUCAAUAAGCGGAGGC